rnacentral:rRNA from 1 species
UACGGAGGGUGCAAGCGUUGUCCGGAUUUAUUGGGUUUAAAGGGUGCGUAGGUGGCCUUAUAAGUCGGCGGUGAAAGUCUGCAGCUUAACUGUAGAACUGCCAUUGAUACUGUAAGGCUUGAGUACUGAUGAGGUAGGCGGAAUUGAUAGUGUAGCGGUGAAAUGCAUAGAUAUUAUCAAGAACACCGAUUGCGAAGGCAGCUUACUAAGGAGUUACUGACACUGAGGCACGAAAGCGGGGGGAUCAAACAGG